GAGCCAGCCCAGCCCUGCCGACCGCAGCACUCUCGGAAGGGCUCGGCCACCCGGAGCCUCGUCACGAGUCUUACCCAGGGUUCGGAGCGGGCCUGCAAGAAGGGGCAGGCCAGGCUGGGGCUGCAAGGCAGGGUCUUCCCUUGGAGAAAGGACCUGACUCUAUUAUUAAGAGAACGAAAGAGGCACUUGCCCUACAGUGUGUAGAGCACGGCCUCUCUCCUGGAAUGGCAUCUUAUACAUAUAACCCAUUGGAGCCAAGAGUUUUACCUUUACAUGCAACUACAUUUUCAGAGAUUGAUUUGACUUCCUCUUCAGAUGUUUUUUCUAUUCAAGAGGUAAAACAUAGGGAUAUUUGGACUCUCAGAACAGCGGUCUGGAUUUUCCUCUUUGACCUUUGCUUACAUGGGGUUCCUCAGAAAGCAGAGUCUCAGAUAAAAUGUAUAUGCUAUAUCUUUUGAAGAACGCAGUUCCAGGGAAGCAGGAGAAAAAAAAAGGAGAAUGAGUCAGACAAGCAAGGAAAGCGCCCGGAAUUGUGCCCCAAAGAGCUGGCAGCUGCGUGGUAGGACAUGCAUACUGUGUUUAAGCUCCCAUUUCACCUUUCAUUUUCUGAAAGACCUGUGAACUGCCGCAUCUCACAGGGGAAGAACCCACAGAACAUUAACAUCUCCAUCUCCAGGCUGCAGAGGUACAGAGCCAGUGGAUCCUC
rnacentral:antisense_RNA from 1 species